AGCGAACGCUAGCGGCAGGCUUAACACAUGCAAGUCGAACGAAGUUCUUCGGAACUUAGUGGCGAACGGGUGAGUAACACGUAGGUAAUGUACCCUUUGGUGGAGGAUAACUCAGGGAAACCUGAGCUAAUACUGCAUAUGUCCUUCGGGAUAAAAGUCUUCGGACGCCUUAGGAGCAGCCUGCGGCCCAUUAUCUAAUCCUAGUUGGUAGGGUAACGGCCUACCAAGGGUACGAUGGGUAGCUGGUCUGAGAGGAUGAUCAGCCACACUGGGACUGAGACACGGCCCAGACUCCUACGGGAGGCAGCAGUGGGGAAUAUUGCGCAAUGGGGGAAACCCUGACGCAGCCAUGCCGCGUGUGUGAUGAAGGCCCUCGGGUCGUAAAGCACUGUCGGGAGGGACGAAGAUCUGACGGUACCUCGCAAGAAAGCACCGGCUAACUCCGUG
rnacentral:rRNA from 1 species